GCUACGGGUGGUAGCAGUGGGGAAUAUUGGACAAUGGGGGGAACCCUGAUCCAGCGACGCCGCGUGAGUGAAGAAGUAUUUCGGUAUGUAAAGCUCUAUCAGCAGGGAAGAAAAUGACGGUACCUGACUAAGAAGCCCCGGCUAACUACGUGCCAGCAGCCGCGGUAAUACGUAGGGGGCAAGCGUUAUCCGGAUUUACUGGGUGUAAAGGGAGCGUAGACGGCGGUGCAAGCCAGAUGUGAAAGCCCGGGGCUCAACCCCGGGACUGCAUUUGGAACUGUGCUGCUAGAGUGUCGGAGAGGCAGGUGGAAUUCCUAGUGUAGCGGUGAAAUGCGUAGAUAUUAGGAGGAACACCAGUGGCGAAGGCGGCCUGCUGGACGAUGACUGACGUUGAGGCUCGAAAGCGUGGGGAGCAAACAGGAUUAGAUACCCGAGUAGUC
rnacentral:rRNA from 1 species